CAGCCGCCGCGGUAAUACGUAGGGUGCGAGCGUUAAUCGGAAUUACUGGGCGUAAAGCGUGCGCAGGCGGUUCGUUAAGACAGAUGUGAAAUCCCCGGGCUUAACCUGGGAACUGCAUUUGUGACUGGCGAGCUAGAGUAUGGCAGAGGGGGGUAGAAUUCCACGUGUAUCAGUGAAAUGCGUAGAGAUGUGGAGGAAUACCGAUGGCGAAGGCAGCCCCCUGGGCCAAUACUGACGCUCAUGCACGAAAGCGUGGGGAGCAAACAGGAUUAGAUACCCCCGUAGUCCCUGUCUCUUAUAC
rnacentral:rRNA from 1 species